GCGAUACCACCAACCGACAGAAAUGGAGAACAGUUGAUUCAGAUUCAGCUGAUAUUCUCAGGUCUGGAGCGGGCCUGAGCGCUUUAAUUAGCCCGGGGCUAAUGUCCUCACCCAUCUUUGUUUAUAGAACGUUGAAACUCCAGUACUGUUGGUAAGUUCCAGGAAGACAGGAACUUUGCACUACUUGAACUCCAGGGUCUAGAACAGCCUGCAAUCUAGCAGAUGCUGUAAAUUUUUUAAUUAAAUACUGAACUCCUGUAGGACGGUGAUUGUGUUUUUAUUCAUUCCCAGCACUUACUAUAGUGUUUGGUGAUUACAAUGGCUGCAGCAUUUGUUCAAAGCUCUAUCACAGGCUUUCUACAGUGUAGAGCUUAACCUGCCUAUCCCUUUUCCCAGAUCAGGGGAAACAGAAAGUCAGGAGGUUGCACGCAGUUAAUACCUUGUGUUUUCCCAAGGGCAGGUAUCAAAUACAAAACUGCGUCCGCCGCAGCUGGAAUACGCACAGGCAUCAAAAUGGGGCCUUUUGGGCCGGGCGCGGUGGCUCAUGCCUGUAAUCCCAGCACCUUGGGGGGCCGAGGCGGGCGGAUCUCAAGGUCAGGAGAUCGAGGUCAUCCUGGCUAACACGGUGAAACCCCGUCUCUACUAAAAAUACAAAAAAUUAGUCGGGCGUGGUGGCGGGCGCCUGUAGUCCCAGCUACGGAGUCUUGUAGUCCCAGCUACGGAGCUUGCAGUGAGCCGAGAUAGCGCCGUUGCACUCCAGCCUGGGCGACAGAGCGAGACUCCGCCUCAAAAAAAAAAAGGGCAGGGGGGACUUUUGGACAGUCCUUUAAUAUUGGGGAAGUGCCCCAAAUUUCUUUUUCUUUUUAUUUUUCUUUUUUUUUUUUGAGACGGAGUCUCGCCCUGUCACCCAGGCUGGAGUGCAGUGGCGCCAUCUCAGCUCACUUCAAGCUCCGCCUCCCGGGUUCAGCCAUUCUCCUGCCUCAGCCUCCCGAGUAGCUGGGACUACAGGCGCCCGCCACCACGCCCGGCUAUUUUGUAUUUUUAGUAGAGACAGGGUUUCACUUUCUCCUUAGCCAGGAGAAGUGCCCCAAAUUUCUAAUCCCUUAAGCCAGGACCUUGGUAGCCCUGAGGUGUGAUGGGAGACUCUGGACAGAACCACCUGUUGACCUAUCCAGGACCCAAAUAUGCACCACAGGUAGGAAUCUUUUUAUUACCAAAGGUACUGUAUGUGUGAAAGAUGGAGAGAGACCCAGACCCCAGAUAACAGAGGCAUGAUAGAUAUGAUCGUCAAGAUGGAGAAGCCAGGCUGGAUUCUAAGCAGGGACUUAGAAGGGGAAAGGAAGUGGAAAGUUUUCCCCACUCUCCCUUCCCUACUAAAAG
rnacentral:lncRNA from 1 species